UACGAAGGGGGCUAGCGUUGCUCGGAAUCACUGGGCGUAAGGGUGCGUAGGCGGGUCUUUAAGUCAGGGGUGAAAUCCUGGAGCUCAACUCCAGAACUGCCUUUGAUACUGAGGAUCUUGAGUUCGGGAGAUGGUGAGUGGAACUGCGAGUGUAGAGGUGAAAUUCGUAGAUAUUCGCAAGAACACCAGUGGCGAAGGCGCUCACUGGCCCGAUACUGACGCUGAGGCACGAAAGCGUGGGGAGCAAACAGG
rnacentral:rRNA from 1 species